rnacentral:rRNA from 1 species
UACGUAGGGUGCAAGCGUUGUUCGGAAUCAUUGGGCGUAAAGCGCGUGUAGGUGGUUAGUUAAGUCGAUUGUGAAAUCCCUGGGCUCAACCGAGGAAGUGCAGUCGAAACUGACUAGCUAGAGGACGGCAGAGGAAGGUGGAAUUCCAAGUGUAGAGGUGAAAUUCGUAGAUAUUUGGAGGAAUACCGGUGGCGAAGGCGGCCUUCUGGACCGGUCCUGACACUGAGACGCGAAAGCGUGGGGAGCAAACAGG